rnacentral:rRNA from 1 species
CCUACGGGAGGCAGCAGUAAGGAAUAUUGGUCAAUGGGCGGAAGCCUGAACCAGCCAUGCCGCGUGCAGGAAGACGGCCCUACGGGUUGUAAACUGCUUUUAUACGGGAAUAAACCUCGAUACGUGUAUCGAGCUGAAUGUACUGUAAGAAUAAGGAUCGGCUAACUCCGUGCCAGCAGCCGCGGUAAUACGGAGGAUCCAAGCGUUAUCCGGAUUUAUUGGGUUUAAAGGGUGCGUAGGUGGCCUGUUAAGUCAGGGGUGAAAGACGGUAGCUUAACUAUCGCAGUGCCCUUGAUACUGAUGGGCUUGAAUAAACUAGAGGUAGGCGGAAUGUGACAAGUAGCGGUGAAAUGCAUAGAUAUGUCACAGAACACCAAUUGCGAAGGCAGCUUACUAUGGUUUUAUUGACACUGAGGCACGAAAGCGUGGGGAUCAAACAGGAUUAGAUACCCUGGUAGUCCACGCCCUAAACGAUGAAUACUCGAUGUUGGCGAUAUACGGUCAGCGUCUAAGCGAAAGCGUUAAGUAUUCCACCUGGGGAGUACGCCCGCAAGGGUGAAACGUCAAAGAGUAGUAGCGUGAGAGAGCGACGACGACGACGACGGAGGAGGAGG